UAUGAACGCUGGCGGCGUGCCUAAUACAUGCAAGUCGAGCGAACAGACGAGGAGCUUGCUCCUCUGACGUUAGCGGUGGACGGGUGAGUAACACGUGGAUAACCUACCUAUAAGACUGGGAUAACUUCGGGAAACCGGAGCUAAUACCGGAUAAUAUAUUGAACCGCAUGGUUCAAUAGUGAAAGACGGUUUUGCUGUCACUUAUAGAUGGAUCCGCGCCGCAUUAGCUAGUUGGUAAGGUAACGGCUUACCAAGGCAACGAUGCGUAGCCGACCUGAGAGGGUGAUCGGCCACACUGGAACUGAGACACGGUCCAGACUCCUACGGGAGGCAGCAGUAGGGAAUCUUCCGCAAUGGGCGAAAGCCUGACGGAGCAACGCCGCGUGAGUGAUGAAGGUCUUCGGAUCGUAAAACUCUGUUAUUAGGGAAGAACAAAUGUGUAAGUAACUAUGCACGUCUUGACGGUACCUAAUCAGAAAGCCACGGCUAACUACGUG
rnacentral:rRNA from 1 species